UGUGAAGGAAAGGUGAAAAGAACCCCGGGAGGGGAGUGAAAAGAACCUGAAACCUUGUGCUUACAAGCACACAAAGCACGUCAACGUGUGAUGUGGUACCUUUUGUAGAAUGGUCCGGCGAGUGAAUGUAACUGGCGAGGUUAAGUUCUUAAGGAACGGAGCCGAAGCGAAAGCGAGUCUGAAUAGGGCGUCUUAGUCAGUUGUAUUCGACCCGAAACCGGGUGACCUAUCCAUGUCCAGGAUGAAGUUAAGGUAAAACUUGAUGGAGGUCCGAACCCACGGUCGUUGAAAUGCCCGGGGAUGAGAUGUGGAUAGCGGAGAAAUUCCAAUCGAACCCGGAUAUAGCUGGUUCUCUCCGAAAUAGCUUUAGGGCUAGCCUCGACUGAACAUUACCGGAGGUAGAGCACUGAAUGGGCUAGGGGCCGAGAGGUUACUGAACCCUAUCAAACUUCAAAUGCCGGAAAAUGAUAGUCGGGAGUCAGACUGCGUGAGAUAAGUUUCGUAGUCGAAAGGGAAACAGCCCAGACCCACAGCUAAGGUCCCAAAGUACGGUUAAGUGGAAAAGGAUGUGGGGUUGCACAGACAACCAGGAUGUUGGCUUAGAAGCAGCCACUCAUUAAAAGAGUGCGUAAUAGCUCACUGGUCGAGUGACUCUGCGCCGAAAAUUUAACGGGGCUAAAUCGUACACCGAAGCUUGGGAUGUAUCUAUGAUGCAUGGUAGGAGAGCGUUGAAUGCGGGGUGAAGUCAGAGCGAAAGCGCUGGUGGACUGCAUUGAAGUGAGAAUGCCGGAAUGAGUAGCGAGAUUUAUGUGAGAAUCAUAAAGGCCGAAAGACUAAGGUUUCAGAAGGAAGGUUCGUCCGCUUCUGGUUAGCCGGGAGCUAAGGUGAGGCCGAAAGGCGUAGCCGAUGCACAUACGGUGGAGAUUCCGUAGCCGUCGAAAUAUUUAAGCAAAGGGACACUUAUGAAGGACAUGACCCGGGCGAUGGUAGCCCCGGGCGUAAGGGACCGAAAACAAGUAGGGAAGCAUGUUUGGAUUAAGGCGAGAAAAGCUUUGUGUAUAUAUUAGACGUCCGUACCGCAAACCGACACAGGUAGUCAGGAAGAGGAUUCUAAGGCCAACGGGAGAAGGGUAGUUAAGGAACUCGGCAAAUUGACCCCGUAACUUCGGGAUAAGGGGCGGUGCGCAAGCACCCGCAGUGAAUAGGUCCAGGCGACUGUUUAUCAAAAACACAGCUCUCUGCUAAAUCGAAAGAUGACGUAUAGGGGGUGACACCUGCCCGGUGCUGGAAGGUUAAGAGGAGGAGUGCAAGCUCCGAAUUGAAGCCCCAGUAAACGGCGGCCGUAACUAUAACGGUCCUAAGGUAGCGAAAUUCCUUGUCGGGUAAGUUCCGACCCGCACGAAUGGUGUAACGAUCUGGACGCUGUCUCAACUGCCCACCCGGCGAAAUUGUAGUACCGGUGAAGAUGCCGGUUACCCGCGGCAAGACGGAAAGACCCCAUGGAGCUUUACUGUAACUUGAUAUUGGGUCUUGGUAUUCUAUGUACAGGAUAGGCGGGAGACUGAGAAACAUACACGCCAGUGUAUGCGGAGUCACCCUUGGGAUACCGCUCUUAGAGUACUGAGAUUCUAACCUGCGGCCGUGAAUCCGGUCGGGGGACAUUGUCAGGUGGGCAGUUUGACUGGGGCGGUCGCCUCCGAAAAAGUAACGGAGGCGCUCAAAGGUUAGCUCAGCACGGACGGAAACCGUGCCUCUGAGUGUAAACGCAAAAGCUAGCCUAACUGCGAGGGUGACGGCCCGAGCAGUAACGAAAGUUGGAGUUAGUGAUCCGGCGGUAUGUGAAUGGAAAUGC
rnacentral:rRNA from 1 species